AACGUAGGACGCAAGCGUUAUCCGGAGUUACUGGGCGUAAAGCGCGGGCAGGCGGUCUUGCCAGUCUGAUGUGAAAUCUCCUCGCUCAACGGGGAGCAGCCAUUGGAAACUACAAGACUGGAGUCUGACAGAGGUAGGCGGAAUUCCGGGUGGAGUGGUGAAAUGCGUAGAGAUCCGGAGGAACACCAGAGGCGAAGGCGGCCUACUGGGUCAGUACUGACGCUGAGCCGCGAAAGCCAGGGGAGCGAACAGG
rnacentral:rRNA from 1 species